GGGCGUAAGAGCUGAGGUGUUGGGUUAAGUCCCGCAACGAGCGCAACCCCUGUCGCCAGUUGUAUUUUCUGGCGAGACUGCCGAGAAAACCUCGGAGGAAGGAGGGGACGAUGUCAGGUCAGCGUGGCCCUUACGCCUGGGGCUACACACACGCUACAAUGGGUCGUACAACGGGCUGCGAAGCCGCGAGGCGGAGCCAAUCCCAUCAAAGCGAUCCUCAGUUCGGAUUGCAGGCUGAAACCCGCCUGCAUGAAGCCGGAGUUGCUAGUAACCGCAGGUCAGCAUUACUGCGGUGAAUACGUUCCCGGGCCUUGUAC
rnacentral:rRNA from 1 species